UACGUAGGGGGCUAGCGUUGUCCGGAAUCAUUGGGCGUAAAGCGCGCGUAGGCGGCCCGGUAAGUCCGCUGUAAAAGUCCAGGCUCAACCCUGGAACGCCGGUGGAUACUGUUGGGCUAGAGUCCGGAAGAGGCGAGUGGAAUUCCUGGUGUAGCGGUGGAAUGCGCAGAUAUCAGGAGGAACACCGGUGGCGAAGGCGG
rnacentral:rRNA from 1 species